UGCCUCAGGUCCCACUGGAGAAACUUUGGGCCACUCUGGAUCGUGCUGGAUGUGCCUCAGGUCCCACUGGAGAAACUUUGGGCCACACUGGACCACUCUGGACGUGCCUCAGGUCCCCCUGGAUAAUCCUUGGGCCACACUGGACCACUCUGGAUGUGCCUCAGGUCCCACUGGAGAAACUUUGGGCCACUCUGGGCCGUGCU